rnacentral:tRNA from 1 species
GCGCUCAUAGCCCAACUGGCAAAGGCAACGGAUUCGAAAUCCGUUCCAUUGCAGGUUCAAAUCCCGCUGAGCGCACGA